rnacentral:rRNA from 1 species
UGCCAGCAGCCGCGGUAAGACGGAGGGGGCUAGCGUUGUUCAGAAUUACUGGGCGUAAAGCGCGCGUAGGCGGCCUGUCGGGUCGGGCGUGAAAGCCCUGGGCUCAACCUGGGAAUUGCAUUCGAUACUGCAGAGCUAGAGUAUGGUAGAGGGAAGUGGAAUUUCCGGUGUAGCGGUGAAAUGCGUAGAUAUCGGAAGGAACACCGGUGGCGAAGGCGACUUCCUGGGCCAAUACUGACGCUGAGGUGCGAAAGCGUGGGGAGCGAACAGGAUUAGAUA